ACAGAUGGCUGAUGAAAGACUAAGAGAAGUAAUAAAAGCCAAAAAGCAAGGCAGAGCAACUAAAGGAACAGUGAAGGGACUUGUCCAAGGUUACCAGAAGCAAGAGUAUGUGAAGAAAAGACGGUCUUUGUGUUCCUGAGAGAAGUGUGGAAGAGGCAUGGAGGAAGAGAGAAUUUCAGGCUUGCGAAACAAAGCUGGGGACAUGAUCUGUCAGUCAAGGUGAAGAUUCCAAUAGAAUGUUCCCAGGAAAAGGUAGUUGGGGCCUGGCCAGAGGAGAUUGAACUGAGACUUCUCUGGGGGGUU
rnacentral:lncRNA from 1 species